rnacentral:rRNA from 1 species
AUUGAACGCUGGCGGCAUGCCUUACACAUGCAAGUCGAACGGUAACAGGCCGCAAGGUGCUGACGAGUGGCGAACGGGUGAGUAAUACAUCGGAACGUGCCCGAGAGUGGGGGAUAACGAGGCGAAAGCUUUGCUAAUACCGCAUACGAUCUCAGGAUGAAAGCAGGGGACCGCAAGGCCUUGCGCUCACGGAGCGGCCGAUGGCAGAUUAGGUAGUUGGUGGGAUAAAAGCUUACCAAGCCGACGAUCUGUAGCUGGUCUGAGAGGACGACCAGCCACACUGGGACUGAGACACGGCCCAGACUCCUACGGGAGGCAGCAGUGGGGAAUUUUGGACAAUGGGCGCAAGCCUGAUCCAGCCAUGCCGCGUGCAGGAUGAAGGCCUUCGGGUUGUAAACUGCUUUUGUACGGAACGAAAAGACUCUAGUUAAUACCUGGGGUCCAUGACGGUACCGUAAGAAUAAGCACCGGCUAACUACGUGCCAGCCGCCGCCGUAAUAC